GUAUAUCUUUUAAAUUAACUAAAAUAAUAAUAUUUUAUGGAUUACAUUUCCAAAAUAACGUACUGUUUCUUUGUUGCAGGUAAUCACGUGACGAUCGCUUUAUCCAGUGGUCGGAUGAUAUCGCCUUCGCUAAUAAAAAACUUCAAAACAACUAUGUAAUCACGUGACUUGUGAAUCUGAACUUUCCUUCGGAACAUUUUUUGAUUUCUAGCUAUGAAAUAACUAAGUAUUUUUAAAUUAUAACUCAAAUAAACGCUACUGCAUGGAUCAA